rfam:Arabis alpina cultivar Pajares scaff_73323_1_contig_0, whole genome shotgun sequence.
GGGUGCAAUCAUACCAGCACUAAUGCACCGGAUCCCAUCAGAACUCCGGGGUUAAACGUGCUUGGGCGAGAGUAGUACUAGGAUGGGUGACCUCCUGGGAAGUCCUCGUGUUGCACCCC